UACGUAGGUGGCAAGCGUUGUCCGGAUUUACUGGGCGUAAAGAGCGCGCAGGCGGUCAGAUAAGUCGAAUGUGAAAGCCCCCGGCUCAACUGGGGAGGGUCAUUCGAUACUGUUCGACUCGAAGGCAGGAGAGGGAAGCGGAAUUCCCGGUGUAGUGGUGAAAUGCGUAGAUAUCGGGAGGAACACCAGUGGCGAAGGCGGCUUCCUGGCCUGUUCUUGACGCUGAGGCGCGAAAGCUAGGGGAGCGAACAGG
rnacentral:rRNA from 1 species